AAACAAACAGUGCACGGGGUCGGAUGUUAAACACA
rnacentral:misc_RNA from 1 species